UCGACGGUAGCAGGCCUUCGGGUGCUGACGAGUGGCGGACAGGUGAGUAAUGCGUAGGAAUCUGUCUUUUAGUGGGGGACAACCCAGGGAAACUUGGGCUAAUACCGCAUGAGCCCUGAGGGGGAAAGCGGGGGAUCUUCGGACCUCGCGCUAAGGGGGGAGCCUACGUCUGAUUAGCUAGUUGGUAGGGUAAAGGCCUACCAAGGCGACGAUCAGUAGCUGGUCUGAGAGGACGACCAGCCACACUGGGACUGAGACACGGCCCAGGCUCCUACGGGAGGCAGCAGUGGGGAAUUUUUCGCAAUGGGGGCAACCCCGACGAAGCAAUGCCGCGUGGAUGAAGAAGGCCUUCGGGUUGUAAAGUCCUUUCGUGGGGGACGAAAAGGUGGUUCCUAAUACGAGCUGCUGUUGACGUGAACCCAAGAANAAGCACCGGGCUAACUCCGUGCCCAACCGCCGCGGUUAAUUC
rnacentral:rRNA from 1 species